GAGCUGGGAACCAAGUACACAAAUCAAGCUGUAGACUUUACAAAGACACACAAAGGAAAUAAAACCUCCAUAUAAUAAAUUAAUGAACAGAAAGGGUCUUAUUUUACAUAAUGAACAACUAUAUUGGCUUUUAAAAAGAAGGCCAUCGAGAAGCUGGGCAUGAGGGCCAACACGUGUUCCUUUAAUCCUGGGGUGAUCGUAGCCAACCUGACGGAGUGGAAGCAUCACAACAUCACCAGCCAACUGGAACACUGAAUGGAGCUCAACGCACCGUUAAUCACCAGCAGAGCCAGACAGCCUCAGGAGCAGAAUUCCCUCAGCACUCCAGAGAUUAUUUAGAACUAAAAAAUCUACACUGUAUAUCAAUUAAAUCAAUCCAAAUAGACAUUCACAUUCAUUGUAGACAAUUGAAAAGCAUUCCCUUUGAGUUUUCAUUUGCUUUAAUUGUAUAAAAAAAAGAUUGUCAGGGAAGACUUGUACAGUAAGACUCUGGCAGAGUAUCACCACACCUCCCCUGCUCAUUGUCUUCUAGAAAGACCACUCUAGCAUCGACCCCAUGUGGCACAUUAGGGGCUACUGGUGCUGGAAACCGCUACUCUCCCCAGUUUGUGAAAGCUGCCAAACUCCUCCAUUGGAACGAACAUUACAAACCAUGGUUCAGGACCUCUUCAUUCACAGAAGUCCGGGACAAGAGGUAUAUUCAGGACCCCACGGGUAAAUUCCACCCAGUUCAGAAACAUACAGGGGACAAAUAGACUAACGCAGGGAUGUGACCAGACAACAGCUCGUCUGCCCGUCCUCCAGUGACUUCUCAGGAACCCUAACACGAUACAAGACAUUCCAAACAGAGUGAUGUCUGUUUACUGUACGGUGGUGUUGUUUAUCUCAGGCAGAGACAGGGCAUGUUCCAUAUGGUGUAAGAGGAUGUUGCAGAGAGAAAUGAAUGUCAUACAUAACAUACAUUUAAAUUACCCAUUCAUAAACGCUAGCUACCUUCGCACCUAUUACCGAUAGUAUGUUCUGACCAGGGUUUUUUCUCAAAAGUCCCAACGCUCGGUCAGAACUUGAACACGUAUCGCUUGUGGUACGGUUUUGGAAACAUAAGGAACGCACCUUUCAUAUCAGCAAGAAAUCAUUUUCAGAAAACAAAAGGUUAAAUUACUACACACCUUUAUAGGGUUAGGGUUCCCACACGGCCAUAUCCAUGUUACAGCGCGUGUUUACGGAAAACAGACUGAAGACAGAUUCGACUACCUACCUGUGCGAAUUAGCUAUCUGCGUCUCCGAACACCUGUGUGUAAACGGAUGCCACAAAGGUGUUAACACUGUCAUAGAAACAUACUGUCGCCAGCAACUGUGUUAAAACCAGUUAAACAGUGUGUGUAUAUUCUGCAUUUAUGAAAUUAGUUUGAUGUGAUCUGAAAGUAGAGGGCAUUAUGUUUAUAGAACUGUACCGCAAUAUAUAAUCUAUUUACGUUUAGAUUGAGUAUUUGAUUGUUUUGGCUGCCAAGCCAAUCUGCCCUCUAAACAGAACAUGUAAGGUCCUUGGACUAUAAGGAUUGCUAGGCUCCUUUAGUCCAUUGGGCUACAUCUCAAUAGUCAAGUAACCUUCCUUCUGUCUUAUAUUUUCACAUCAAUGCAGAUGCAGCUACUUAAGACUGUUGAGACGACUGAAUACAUUGUGUGCCUAUGUGUUCAGGAACUGUCCCCUGUGACAAUUUGCCAAGAUCACCAUUUUCCUUAGACCUUCACUUUGAUGCUGUUAGAACAAGGAUCAAUAUUUUGUUACUGACGGUUGUCUUGCACUCUAACUCCUUAUCCUUUAAAAGGCAGUCUCUAUGGGGGUGCCACAGGGUUCAAUUCUCGGGCCGACUCUCUUCUCUGUAUACAUCAAUGAUGUCGCU